rnacentral:rRNA from 1 species
GACGAACGCUGGCGGCGUGCUUAACACAUGCAAGUCGAACGGAAAGGCCCUGCUUUUGUGGGGUGCUCGAGUGGCGAACGGGUGAGUAACACGUGAGUAACCUGCCCUUCACUUUGGGAUAACUUCAGGAAACUGGGGCUAAUACCGGAUAGGAGCUCCUGCUGCAUGGUGGGGGUUGGAAAGUUUCGGCGGUUGGUGAUGGACUCGCGGCUUAUCAGCUUGUUGGUGGGGUAGUGGCUUACCAAGGCUUUGACGGGUAGCCGGCCUGGGAGGGUGACCGGCCACAUUGGGACUGAGAUACGGCACAGACUCCUACGGGAGGCAGGGGUGGGGAAUAUUGCACAAUGGGCGGAAGCCUGAUGCAGCAAAGCCGCGUGCGGGAUGACGGCCUUCGGGUUGUAAACCGCUUUCGCCUGUGACGAAGCGUGAGUGACGGUAAUGGGUAAAGAAGCACCGGCUAACUACGUG